rnacentral:lncRNA from 1 species
GUUGUAUUGAACUUUGUUCUCUCUUAAGGGGUGGAGGCAGGGUGGGGGGGUGCGGGGGGAGGGGGAGGUCUCCCGAUAGUUAAGACUUACUUCGAACCUUACAGUGCCAGGCCUUCACAGAUGUUAAAUUUUCAUUUGACUUUCAUUUUAAAAUAAGAGAAUUAAGAUUGUAGGUAAAUUGAAAGAAGAAGUGGAGAGUUAUCCGGACUGAGCGCAGGAACCGGAAGUAGAAUCUCAAACGACAGAAGAGAAGGAAAUGUGAACGUCGAUGCGGGGGAGACGAGAUUGCUCUGAAAAAGACUGCAGGGUGAGAGGGGGAAGAAAGAGUCCCUAUCAUGGAGGCUGCAGUCAGCCAGUGUGGAGCAUUUUCCUCAGCAGGAAAUCAUGUCACCUCUCAGGGAGUGCUUCCAGGAGAAAGACUUGUCAGGUAAAAGAAGCAAAUGCUAAGCCGUUAUUGAGAUUUGCUCUGCAAACAAAUUAUGGAGCAGAGGUGCCAAACUGUUAAAUGCUCAGGAGAUAAUAUUGCGGCCGAGAACACAGGUUUCAUGUUGACGUGGGUCAGUCCUGACCUCUGUAGGUCUGUUUCCUUAUCUAGAAAGGAUGAGUAUAACUCUCUAUAUCUCAUGAAGAUGUUGUG